AAUAAUAAAAGGCACUCCAAGACCUCUUCUCAUAUCAUGAUUCAUUGCUAAGCAAUAGUUUUCUUAUAUGCGGCAACGAAGAGUGAAACGUGUCAGAAACGCCCAAACUAUCUCGGACGUUUCACCCAAAGCUAUACCCAAAUUAACUUUGUACCAUUUGUCCUUCCAUUUUCUAACCAACAAUAUGCUUCUGCAUUUGCAUUCCUUCUCUAAAUUCACAAGUAGAAGCAAGUUUCUUCCAAGUUUUGUCAGAGAUUUAAAUAUAGAUUUUGUUCAAUCACCGAAUAGAGGGAAAAGGGUCAUUUUCGCGAAAUUUGUAAAGACAUCUUGCCGUAUCACAUUUCCUGAUAAUGAAGAAAAGAAAGAUGUCAACAAGAAAAUAUUAGUUCCUGAUUCAGAUCCUCCUAGCACUACGGAUGUCAAACUUUUGUAUCAAUUUUUUGAUAAAAGCACUAACCUCAUGGUAUUAACUGGAGCUGGAAUCAGUACAGAAUGCGGAAUUCCUGAUUAUAGAAGCCCAAAUGGAGCUUACAGUUCAGGUUUCAAGCCAAUAACACAUCAGGAAUUUCUCCGUUCAAGUCGGGCCCGCAGGCGGUACUGGGCUAGGAGCUAUGCUGGAUGGAGACGGUUUACUGCUGCACAGCCUGGUGCAGGUCAUUUUGCUUUAGCAUCUCUAGAAAAAGCUUCCAGGAUUAAUUUUAUGCUUACUCAAAAUGUUGACAGACUACAUCAUCGUGCUGGGAGCAAUCCACUUGAAUUACAUGGAACUGUGUAUUCUGUCAUUUGUCUAGACUGUGGUUUUUCUUGUAGUCGAAAUUUAUUUCAGGACCAGCUGAAGGCCCUCAACCCAAAGUGGGCAGCAGCAAUUGAAAGUUUGGAUUAUGGCAUUCCUGGAUCAGACAAAAGCUUUGGCAUGAAGCAAAGACCUGACGGUGAUAUUGAGAUUGAUGAGAAAUUCUGGGAGGAAGAUUUCCACAUACCUACAUGUGAAAAAUGCAAUGGAGUACUCAAACCAGAUGUUGUAUUCUUUGGUGAUAAUGUCCCCAAGGAUAGAGCUGACAAGGCAAUGGAAGCUGCAAGGGGAUGUGAUGCAUUCCUUGCACUAGGAUCAUCUCUAAUGACCAUGUCUGCAUUUCGACUUGUUAGUUAGUCUUUAGCUGAUAAAGCCCCACUGAAAUUCACAGAGCUGCCCACGAGGCUGGUGCUACUACAGCUAUAGUAAAUGUCGGAGUGACUCGAGCUGAUAAUUUCGUGCCAUUGAGGAUCAAUGCCAGAUUGGGAGAGAUUUUGCCUAGAGUGCUGGACGCCGGAUCCCUCAGCAUCCCUGCUCCCUAGUUAUGAUAGAAGAAACCAGGUGAAAUGAGUAGUAGUAUCUAAUCUUCCAUUCUUUUCAGUCCUUAAAAAUUGGUGUUCAUAUUCAUAGCAUGAAUCUACUGGCCUAGGAUGAUGGGUCUGUGCUGUGCCUAUAACAAUGUAAUUAUGUAUCCUUUGUAAUAAGCUUGAUUAAAUUAAAUCAAACUUCCAAAUCA